UUUUUUAAGUCCCUAAUUCGCUAUUAUGUCACUAGGAAUUAAUAUUGUUUAUGAAAGUCUGGAUAUUAAGACAUUUGUUGAAUCCUUUUGCGCACAUAAGUCUUGUGGUAAGAUGAAAGUGUAACACAUGUAGCUAGAGGAGUCUCUUGUUGAAGUUUUCUUAUGUGAGAAUUGGUGAGGAUUGAGAGCCACAAUAUACUAAAAAU
rnacentral:lncRNA from 1 species